rnacentral:rRNA from 1 species
UACAGAGGGUGCGAGCGUUAAUCGGAAUUACUGGGCGUAAAGGGCGCGUAGGUGGCCUUCUAAGUUGAACGUGAAAUCCCUGGGCUCAACCCAGGAACUGCGUCCAAGACUGGGAGGCUUGAAUCCGGGAGAGGGAUGCGGAAUUCCAGGUGUAGCGGUGAAAUGCGUAGAUAUCUGGAGGAACACCGGUGGCGAAGGCGGCAUCCUGGACCGGUAUUGACACUGAGGCGCGAAAGCCAGGGGAGCAAACGGG